UACGAAGGGGGCUAGCGUUGUUCGGAAUUACUGGGCGUAAAGGGCGCGUAGGCGGUGUGUCAAGUCAGGCGUGAAAGCCCCGGGCUCAACCUGGGAACCGCGCUUGAGACUGGCACGCUCGAGUUCGGGAGAGGAUGGUGGAAUUCCCAGUGUAGAGGUGAAAUUCGUAGAUAUUCGCAAGAACACCAGUGGCGAAGGCGGCUCACUGGCCCGAUACUGACGCUGAGGCACG
rnacentral:rRNA from 1 species